AGUGAACGCUGGCGGUAGGCCUAACACAUGCAAGUCGAACGGCAGCACAGUAAGAGCUUGCUCUUACGGGUGGCGAGUGGCGGACGGGUGAGGAAUACAUCGGAAUCUACUUUUUCGUGGGGGAUAACGUAGGGAAACUUACGCUAAUACCGCAUACGACCUACGGGUGAAAGCAGGGGAUCUUCGGACCUUGCGCGAUUGAAUGAGCCGAUGUCGGAUUAGCUAGUUGGCGGGGUAAAGGCCCACCAAGGCGACGAUCCGUAGCUGGUAUGAGAGGAUGAGCAGCCACACUGGAACUGAGACACGGUCCAGACUCCUACGGGAGGCAGCAGUCGGGAAUAUUGGACAAUGGGCGCAAGCCUGAUCCAGCCAUACCGCGUGCGUGAAGAAGGCCUUCGGGUUGUAAAGCCCUUUUGUUGGGAAAGAAAAGCAGCAGGUUAAUACCCCGCUGUUCUGACGGUACCCAAAGAAUAAGCACCGGCUAACUUCGUG
rnacentral:rRNA from 1 species